rnacentral:rRNA from 1 species
ACGGGGUGCAGCAGGCGCGAAACCUUUACAAUGCACGAAAGUGUGAUAGGGGGAUUCUACGUGCAAGCUAUGCUUGCUUUUCUCAAGUUUAAACCACUUGGGGAAUAAGGGCUGGGCAAGACCCGUGCCAGCCGCCGCGGUAAUACGGGCAGCUCUAGUGGCGUUCGCGAAUAUUGGGCCUAAAGCGUACGUAGCCUGUUAAUCAAGUUCUUGGUGAAAGCUCGCGACUUAAUCGUGAGAAUGGCCAUGAAAACUGUUUGACUUGGGACCGGAAGAGGUCGGAGGUAUUUCUUGGGUAGGGGUAAAAUCCUGUAAUCCUUGAAGGACCAUCGGUGGCGAAGGCGUCCGACUGGGACGGGUCCGACGGUGAGGUACGAAAGCUAGGGGAGCGACCCGGAUUAGAUACCCGGUUAGUCCUAGCCGUAAAUGAUGUCUGUUUGGUAUUGCACUCCUCACGAGGGAUUGCAGUGCCGUAGGGAAGCCGUUAAACAGACCGCCUGGGAGUACGCCGCAAGGC